rnacentral:rRNA from 1 species
CCUACGGGGGGCAGCAGUGAGGAAUAUUGGUCAAUGGGAGGAAUCCUGAACCAGCCAUGCCGCGUGCAGGACGACGGCUCUACGAGUUGUAAACUGCUUUUGUACCGGGGUAAAAUGCUCUACGAGUAGGGUUUUGAAAGUACGGUACGAAUAAGGAUCGGCUAACUCCGUGCCAGCAGCCGCGGUAAUACGGAGGAUCCGAGCGUUAUCCGGAUUGAUUGGGUUUAAAGGGUGCGUAGGUUGUUUUAUAAGUUAGCGGUGAAAGACCGAUGCUCAACAUCGGGGCUGCCGCUGAUACUGUAGGACUAGAGAGCGGAUGCAGCAGGCGGAAUGUGUAGUGUAGCGGUGAAAUGCAUAGAUAUUACACAGAACACCGAUUGCGAAGGCAGCUUGCUAGGCCGGAUCUGACACUGAUGCACGAAAGCGUGGGGAUCGAACAGGAUUAGAUACCCCAGUAGUC